rnacentral:rRNA from 1 species
AUUGAACGCUGGCGGCAGGCCUAACACAUGCAAGUCGAGCGGCAGCAGGGGGAUUGCUUGCGGUUUCAGCUGGCGACGGGCGGACGAGGGAUAAAAACCUGGCUAGCUGUGUGGUCGAACGUGCGGAAACGGGCGAAAAUACGGCAAACGCCCAGAGGGAGAACGUGGGGGAGCUGCGGAUCUCCGGACAUCGGGUGAGUCGAGGUCGGAUUAGCUGGUUGGUGGGGUAAAGGCCUACCAAGGCGACGAUCCGUAGCUGGUCUGAGAGGAUGAUCAGUCACACUGGAACUGAGACACGGUCCAGACUCCUACGGGAGGCAGCAGUGGGGAAUAUUGGACAAAGGGCGAAAGCCUGAUCCAGCCAUGCCGCGUGGGUGAAGAAGGUCUUCGGAUUGUAAAGCCCUUUUGGUUGGGAGGAAGGGCAGUAAGUUAAUACCGUGCUGUUUUGACGUUACCAAAAGAAUAAGCACCGGCUAACUUCGUG